UACGGAGGGUGCAAGCGUUAUCCGGAUUCACUGGGUUUAAAGGGUGCGUAGGCGGGUAAGUAAGUCCGUGGUGAAAUCUCUGAGCUUAACUCAGAAACUGCCGUGGAUACUAUUUGCCUUGAAUAUUGUGGAGGUGAGCGGAAUAUGUCAUGCAGCGGUGAAAUGCUUAGAUAUGACAUAGAACACCAAUUGCGAAGGCAGCUCACUACACAAUGAUUGACGCUGAGGCACGAAAGCGUGGGGAUCAAACAGG
rnacentral:rRNA from 1 species